rnacentral:lncRNA from 1 species
ACUUUAUAGUUGAUAUCAAUCGGAUAUUUCAUUUAGUUUCUUUAAUAGAGAACCUACAGCAGAGUCUAAAGAAAACAUUUUUAUUAAUAUAACCAAAGGAUAUCCAGCUCAUCGGCAAUACAUUCUCAUUGAAGAGGGAAAUGAAGUUCCUUGCACAUCGUUCCUUUGCCCCUCUGGUAGAUCUUCCAACACCCCCCCCCGCCC